UUACGGGAGGCAGCAGUAGGGAAUAUUGCACAAUGGGCGCAAGCCUGAUGCAGCAACGCCGCGUGCGCGAUGAAGGCCUUCGGGUCGUAAAGCGCUUUUCUGGAGGACGAGGAAGGACGGUACUCCAGGAAGAAGGCUCGGCUAACUACGUGCCAGCAGCCGCGGUAAAACGUAGGAGCCUAGCGUUAUCCGAAUUCACUGGGCGUAAAGCGCGUGCAGGCGGUUCGGUAAGUUGGAUGUGAAAUCUCCUGGCUCAACUGGGAGAGGACGUUCAAGACUGUCGGACUAGAGGACGGUAGAGGAAGGUAGAAUUCCCGGUGUAGUGGUGAAAUGCGUAGAUAUCGGGAGGAAUACCAGUGGCGAAGGCGGCCUUCUGGGCCGUUCCUGACGCUCAGACGCGAAAGCUAGGGGAGCAAACGGGAUUAGAUACCCGGGUAGUCC
rnacentral:rRNA from 1 species